CACAAGAGCCCUGGGGUGAGGCACAUCCAGCACAAAGACCUGGAAAAGCUCCUGAGAGCACAGGAACCGCCCCCCCCAGGCUCCCCUCUCUGCUUCUGGGCUUCUCAGCUCAGCUCUGCAGGCAUUUUCAUCCAAUUACACAAAACCACCCAAACUCAUGGAGAAGAAGGAGAAGGAGAAGGAGAAGGAGAAGGAGAAGGAGAAGGAGAAGGAGAAGGAGAAGGAGAAGGAGAAGGAGAAGGAGAAGGAGAGAAGAAGAAGGAGAAGGAGAAGGACCAGCCUCCGUCCUAAAACCUCCAUCUUUAUAUCUAUUACUAUAUUCUAAAACCUUCAACUCUUAAGUUUUCCACCCUGUGAUAUUUCCACACUUCUAUUGAAACUCCACACGCACAAUCCCAGUGCUAUAAUUCAAUUUUGGAAGCUUC